rnacentral:rRNA from 1 species
CUGCUAGUUGCACGAGUUCAGACUCGUAGGCAUAUAGCUCAGUAACACGUGGCCAAACUACCCUACAGACCGCGAUAACCUCGGGAAACUGAGGCCAAUAGCGGAUAUCACUCUCAGACUGGAGUGUCGAGAGUUAGAAACGUUCCGGCGCUGUAGGAUGUGGCUGCGGCCGAUUAGGUAGAUGGUGGGGUAACGGCCCACCAUGCCGAUAAUCGGUACAGGUUGUGAGAGCAAGAGCCUGGAGACGGUAUCUGAGACAAGAUACCGGGCCCUACGGGGCGCAGCAGGCGCGAAACCUUUACACUGCACGACAGUGCGAUAGGGGGACUCCGAGUGUGAGGGCAUAUAGCCCUCGCUUUUCUGUACCGUAAGGUGGUACAGGAACAAGGACUGGGCAAGACCGGUGCCAGCCGCCGCGGUAAUACCGGCAGUCCAAGUGAUGGCCGAUAUUAUUGGGCCUAAAGCGUCCGUAGCUUGCUGUGUAAGUCCAUUGGGAAAUCGACCAGCUCAACUGGUCGGCGUCCGGUGGAAACUACACAGCUUGGGGCCGAGAGACUCAACGGGUACGUCCGGGGUAGGAGUGAAAUCCUGUAAUCCUGGACGGACCACCAAUGGGGAAACCACGUCUGAGAGACCGGACCCGACAGUGAGGGACGAAAGCCAGGGUCUCGAACCGGAUUAGAUACCCGGGUAGUCCUGGCUGUAAACAAUGCUCGCUAGGUAUGUCACGCGCCAUGAGCACGUGCAUGUGC